rnacentral:rRNA from 1 species
CAUCCUCCAAGGCUAAAUACUCCUGAUUGACCGAUAGUGAACCAGUACCGUGAGGGAAAGGCGAAAAGAACCCCGGCGAGGGGAGUGAAAUAGAACCUGAAACCGUGUACGUACAAGCAGUGGGAGCCCCAUCACUCAAGUGCCUCGGCAAUUGAGUGAGGGUGUAAAACCAUCACAAUAACAGCGCAGGAUUUGCCAACAAGAUUGGCUGAUUUUUUCAAGCCGCAGCGCAGUGGACAUCGAAGUCCAUGAGCAGCGGAAGUUAAAAAAUCGGGCAAGAUUAACCGCAAAGCCAAGCGGGACAUUUGAGGAUGGGGUGACUGCGUACCUUUUGUAUAAUGGGUCAGCGACUUAUAUUCUGUAGCAAGGUUAACCGAAUAGGGGAGCCGUAGGGAAACCGAGUCUUAACUGGGCGAAUGAGUUGCAGGGUAUAGACCCGAAACCCGGUGAUCUAGCCAUGGGCAGGUUGAAGGUUGGGUAACACUAACUGGAGGACCGAACCGACUAAUGUUGAAAAAUUAGCGGAUGACUUGUGGCUGGGGGUGA